GCUGUAGCUCAAUGGCAGAGUGCUAGCCUAGAAAGGGUGAGGCUCUGGGUUCAAUCCUCAGCAUUGCA
rnacentral:tRNA from 1 species